AGUGAACGCUGGCGGUAGGCCUAACACAUGCAAGUCGAACGGCAGCACAGUAAGAGCUUGCUCUUACGGGUGGCGAGUGGCGGACGGGUGAGGAAUACAUCGGAAUCUACUUUUUCGUGGGGGAUAACGUAGGGAAACUUACGCUAAUACCGCAUACGACCUACGGGUGAAAGCAGGGGAUCUUCGGACCUUGCGCGAUUGAAUGAGCCGAUGUCGGAUUAGCUAGUUGGCGGGGUAAAGGCCCACCAAGGCGACGAUCCGUAGCUGGCCUGAGAGGAUGAUCAGCCACACUGGAACUGAGACACGGUCCAGACUCCUACGGGAGGCAGCAGUGGGGAAUAUUGGACAAUGGGCGCAAGCCUGAUCCAGCCAUACCGCGUGGGUGAAGAAGGCCUUCGGGUUGUAAAGCCCUUUUGUUGGGAAAGAAAAGCGGCAGGUUAAUACCCCGCUGUUCGGACGGUACCCAAAGAAUAAGCACCGGCUAACUUCGU
rnacentral:rRNA from 1 species